CCCAGACUCCUACGGGAGGCAGCAGUGAGGAAUAUUGGUCAAUGGGCGAGAGCCUGAACCAGCCAAGUCGCGUGAGGGAAGACGGUCCUAUGGAUUGUAAACCUCCUUUGCCGGGGAGCAAAAAGCGGUACGUGUACCGCAUCGAGAGUACCCGGAGAAAAAGCAUCGGCUAACUCCGUGCCAGCAGCCGCGGUAAUACGGAGGAUGCGAGCGUUAUCCGGAUUUAUUGGGUUUAAAGGGUGCGCAGGCGGGCUGUUAAGCCGGCGGUAAAAAUUCAGGGCUCAACCCUGUCGAGCCGUCGGAACUGGCAGUCUUGAGUGGGCGAGAAGUAUGCGGAAUGCGUGGUGUAGCGGUGAGAUGCAUAGAUAUCACGCAGAACGCCGAUUGCGAAGGCAGCAUACCGGCGCCCAACUGACGCUGAGGCACGAAAGCGUGGGGAUCGAACAGGAUUAGAUACCCGGGUAA
rnacentral:rRNA from 1 species